GCCAUCGCUCUCCCGGGCUUAGAAGGCCCGGCUACUGACGCGCAGUGCCAGACCUUACCCCUCACGGUCCUUAAGUCUCGGUCGCCCUCGCCUCGCAGCCUGCCACCCGCGCUCAGCUGCCCGCCUCCUCAGCCAGCCAUGCUGGAGCAUCUGAGCUCGCUGCCCACGCAGAUGGAUUACAAGGGCCAGAAGCUAGCUGAACAGAUGUUUCAGGGAAUUAUUCUUUUUUCUGCAAUAGUUGGAUUUAUCUACGGGUACGUGGCUGAACAGUUCGGGUGGACUGUCUAUAUAGUUAUGGCCGGAUUUGCUUUUUCAUGUUUGGUAAGAAAUUUGUGGGUAUUAGUGGCAGCUUGGGUUUUGUGAGUCGGGUUGGUUUGGUUAGACCUACUCAGUAGUGAGACCCAAAGCCAACGUUUCCCUCAUCCUUCCAAACAGCGUUUCCCUUUGCUAUCAUUGGAAAAGUAGAAUGCCAAAAUAGUGUCAGAUGGUGCGAACUAUAUAAAAGGACACAGCUUAUUUCCUUUGGCGGCUACUCUGGCUAAUAAUCUUAAGGUCAAAGCCAGCAGGAGUUUUCAUGGUGCUCACGUUGUCCCUUCACCUUUUAUUUAUUUAUUUAUUUAAAUUUUUUGAGACGGAGUUUCACUCUUGUUGCCCAGGCUGCAGUGCACUGGGGCGAUUUCGGCUCACUGCACCUUCUGCCUCCCGGGUUUAAUAGAUUUUCCUGCCUCAGCCUCCCGAGUAGCUGUGACUACAGGAGCCCACCACCACACCCAGCUAAUUUUUGUAUUUUUAGUAAAGACAGGGCUUCACUGUGUUGGCCAGGCUG
rnacentral:lncRNA from 10 species